UUGGUUAUGGAUGAGCAUGCGCAUGAUUAGCUAGUUGGUGAGGUAAUGGCUCACCAAGGCGACGAUCAUUAGGGGGUCUGAGAGGAUGAUCCCCCACACUGGUACUGAGAUACGGACCAG
rnacentral:rRNA from 1 species